ACGCAUUUAUACGCUCACAGACCAGAAUACCAGAGCCAACAUUACAUAGGCUACAUCAGCUGUUCCUAAUUCCAGCCCAUGUUCCGAAUUUAUUUCCAGAGGUAU